CAGCAGGUUUGGUCCUAGCCUCAGUAUUAUUUUUAACUAAACUUAUACAUGCAAGUUUCAGCAUUCCUGUGAGAACGCCCUAGACAAACCAUAAUUUGACUAGAUGCCGGUAUCAGGCACAUAUAUAUUGUAUAGCCCAUGACACCUCGCUUAACCACAUCCCCAAGGAACUUCAGCAGUAAUAAACAUUGAAACAUAAGCGCAAGCUUGAACCAGUUAUAGUUAAGAGUGUUGGUUAAUCUCGUGCCAGCCACCGCGGUUAUACGAGUAACACAUAUUAAUACUUCACGGCGUAAAGGGUGAUUAAAAAUAAUCUUACUUUACUAAAGUAAAGACCUCAUCAAGCUGUCAUACGCACUUAUGAAUGGAAAACCCAACCAACGAAAGUAACUUUACAAAAACAGAAUUUUUGACCUCACGAUAGUUAAGACCCAAACUAGGAUUAGAUACCCUAUUAUGCUUAACCCUAAACAUUGUUAAUAAAUUAUACUAUUUACUCGCCUGAGUACUACAAGCGCUAGCUUUAAACCCAAAGGACUUGGCGGUGCCCCAGACCCACCUAGAGGAGCCUGUUCUAUAACCGAUAAUCCCCGUUUAACCUUACCACUUCUUGUUUUCUGUAACCGCCUAUAUACCGCCGUCGUCAGCUCACCCUUUGAAGGGAUAAAAGUAAGCAAAAUGAAUUAUCUUCAAUACGUCAGGUCGAGGUGUAGCGAAUGAAAUGGAAAGAAAUGGGCUACAUUUCCUAUGAAGGAAACACGAAUAGUAAAAUGAAAAAUUACUUAAAGGUGGAUUUAGCAGUAAGAAAACCUUAGAAUAUUUUUCUGAAACUGGCUCUGAGGCGCGCACACACCGCCCGUCACUCUCCUUAACAAAAAAUAAUUUUAUAUAAAAAAAUUCACUAAACAAGAGGAGGCAAGUCGUAACAUGGUAAGUGUACUGGAAAGUGUACUUGGAAUAAC
rnacentral:ncRNA from 1 species